rnacentral:ncRNA from 1 species
AAGAGGCGCGGGGCUUAUCAGUACGUUUUCUGUUUUGUGACAGCAUGGAAAACGGAAAGGAGGCUUCGCCGAAGAUGCCUGUGCUCUGUCAGGUCAGGCUUCUGGGGUGUGCCAGAACAUGGUACGCACUGUCACGAUAGUGGAGAGCUUU